AUCUUUUCUAGCAGCUUCCCAGCCAACUUAUCCUCAGGGGACCGAACCGGCUCGGUGUCCAUUGCUAUCCCCAUAUCUGUGAAGGAAGGAGAAGGGACUGGUUCUGACUGGGGCUGAGGUCCACCAUCCCCAAAACAGAACCUGUUCUGCUCCCAAGAGAACUGGUGCCUGCGAGCCUGGAAGCGGAAGGAAUAAAUGAUCAGAAAACUAGAAGAAGCACAAAUGAAGAGAGGGGAAAAAAAGUCAGCCCCAGGAGCAAACACACUUCUUGAAUCCCUCCCCCGGGCCCGGUAACUUUUUAUGAUGAGAAAGCACAGAGAAGUCAAUAACUUUCCGGAGGUCACACAGCUAGCGGUCUGAGGCAAGGCAAUUUGGCCUGAGAGUCCUGAUCUAACCACUGCACCAUACUACCUGGCUGUUCUGGCAGCUGUUCCUAGGGAGGGGUGAGGGGUAGUCUGGGGUGAAGGUCACUGGGAGCCCAGAGAGACACAGACCAGUAUGAAAACAGUCCCUACAGGAAGCAGCAGCGGUUUGGAUGUGGGGGGCAGGUGGGAUCAUCUGUGUCAGCAUCAGGAGCCCAGGCGGGAAGCAGGACCAUGAAAGCCUACAGUUAAAACAUUCGCUUCCAGCCCAGCCGGUGUGGCUCACUGGUUGAGGGUCAACCUAUGACCCGGGAGGUCACCGUUCGAUUCCUGGUCGGGACACAUGCCCUGGUUGCGGGCUUGGUCUCCAGUAGGGGGCAUGCAGGAGGCAGCCAUCAAUGAUUCUCUCUCAUCACUGAUGGUUCUAUCUCCCUCUCCCGUCCUCUCUGAAAUAAAUUAAAAGAUAUUAAAAACAAAAGGUAAUCUUUAUUUUUUAAGAAUUUUUUCCCCCUGCAAAAAGCGUUAUUGUUUCCUUUGGUCCAACG